UGAUAGAAUAGGUAUUGAGCUAGUGCAC
rnacentral:piRNA from 1 species